CAUAGCCCUAGUUAGUAUCUAAGGUGUAACCUGCCCAAUGGUUUUUAAUAAUAUUAAAUAAAAUUUAAUUAAAAAAACUUAAAGGACGCGGUAACCUUGACCGUGAUAAUGUAGCAUAAUCAUUCGCCAUUUAAUUGAUGGAUAGUAUGAAUGGUUGAACGAAUAUUUCACUGUCUUAAGAAGAAAUACCAAAAAAUUAGAAUAAUAGUAAAGAUACUAUUUAAAAUUGUAAGACGAAAAGACCCUAUAGAGCUUAACUACAAUCUUCCCACAAAAGAAUGAAAGAUUCACUAAAAUGAGAAGAUAGGUAGUUUAGUUGGGGCGACUGUCUUUUAAAAAAAACAAAGACAAGCAAAGUAAAUAAUAAAACUUAUUGUAUAAUAAAUUAAUUUAACAAUUAUAAAAAUAGGCUAUAAUGACCCGUUAUAAGUAUGUAAAAACAAUAACGAUCAAUAAAUAAAAGCUACCUUAGGGAUAACAGGAUAAUUUUAUUUUAGAGAUCUAAUCGAAAAUAAAGUUUGUCACCUCUAUGUUGAAUUAAGAUAUCCUGAUAAUGCAGAAGUUAUCAAAGGUAGGUCUGUUCGACCUUUAAAAUCUUACAUGAU
rnacentral:rRNA from 2 species